rnacentral:lncRNA from 1 species
UUUUUUUUUUUUUAUGGUUCGAGUGCACAUUUUCUUGGUCGUAAUGGCACUAAGAACCAGUUCUGUGACUUGGCCAUAUGGAUAAUCCGUUUAACACUUUUAAUUUGUUUAUUAUUUAUUGUGUAUAGAUUUAGGGAUUGAAUUCAGGUCACUACCAGCUUGGUAGCAAGCAAUGAGCUAUCUCAUUGACACCUCUACAAGUUUUUAUUCAUUAUUAUUAUAAGGAAUUAGUUUUUUCUCAUGGAUUUAAAGAGUUCUUUAUGUAUAUUUGGAUAUAAAUCCUAAUAUUUGCUUCAAGCUUGUAGAUUACACUGUUAUUCUCUUAAGAUCAUCUUUUGAGAAAUCUGUGCUCAUAAUUUUAAGAAAGGUUUUGGUAGCAAGGUAAGAGACUGUCUGUGUGCCGAUGAAACCCUGUCUUCCAUCUGAUAGCUGUCACACAGUGUUUAUUUGUUAAUCUCCAGUCACCGAUUUUAGUUCUCAAGACCUGUUGGUUUACUUGACAGUUAUCAAUGUAAUCCUUUGGGUUAUCUUCUGAAUGCUUGCUUGCAUGACUUUUAGAGCUCCUGUCCACCAAGAAUUGACCUUGUGUUUGAUGUAAGGUGGAUUCAUGUCUCAAUGUAAGGACAUCCAGUUGACAUAGCACAUAUUUUUUUAAAACAAAAUAUUUGUCCAUUGCUCUGCUUUGCCAUCCUUGCUGUAGAGGAAAUGCUUACAUCGGCAAACAAGGGCUUGUGGAGCUCAUGUGUAGCCCUUACACCUCAACGUUUUUCCUGGGGAUCAGCUUCAUGAAGCUCUUGGUACAUGGCAGGAAGUUUUGGAGUCCUGCUGGUCUGCGUCAAGAUGAUCCUCAUGUUCUCCCUUCUCCUCGUCUUCCUUUUUCUUCUGUGUUGUGAGUUAAACCUGGUGGGAGCAGCACCUAGGAAAUGUUAGCACUGCACAUGAUGGUCUCUUUUCAUAUGCAUCUUAGGAUGACCCAGUCCUUCAGACAUGUCGUGAAUAUGUGGUGCUGUGUGUGCGUAGACUAGAGUCUUCUUAGCAAAAUUCAGAGAAACCACUGUAGCAGGUCGUUACUAUUCUUUCCUCUUCAUUGACCCUGGCAUUUCCUUUUAUUUUUGUUCCUUAGUCUGUUUUUAGUCCAAAUUGUUAUUGUUUAUUUAGCUUUAGCAUGAGACCUCACACACACACACACACACACACACACUCAAGACAUAUACAUCAGGACACACAGACAUAUACAUCAGGACACACAGACAUAUACAUCAGGACACACAGACAUAUAUUCACAUAUUUGCAGCUACAUUAUUUAUGUACAGAGUUUCACUUGUGUUGCACCAUAAGUUUCUCAUCAUUUAUCUUAGUCCCUUUUUCCUGGGACACCAGGAGAAAUAUGAGGUGGCUUAUGCUUGUCUUUGGAUCUCCGCCGGUCACGGUUUAAGUUGCCUUAGCUGUCUGUAACCAGGCAGCUCAGGUGUUAACUGAAACUGAUUUAUUUAUUUAUUUAAUGUAGAGGACUACACUGUAGCUGUCUUCAGACACACCGGAGAGGGUAUCAGAUCCUGUUACAGAUGGUUGUGAGCCACCAUGUGGUUGCUGGGAAUUGAACUCAGGACCUCUAGGAAGAUAAGUCAGUGCUCUUAGCCACUGAACCACUGAGCCAUCUCUCCAGCACCUGGACUGAUUUUAAAUAGAGCAAUUUGACCACUGGACAGUGAAUUCCUUCUAGAUAGAAGCAUCAUUUGCCCAUAUAACCCUAAUUAGUGUCUUACGUGUUUAACGUUUCAAAAGUCGGUGAAUCAAAGUGAACCUCUUCUGGGUUUUGUUAUAGUUUGUAAGUUUGUGACAAGACCUUUUUUAUUUUUUUCCCUCCUCUUUUUUGUUGGAUGGAAACUCAGAGCUUUGUACGUUCAAGGCUAGCAUUCUAUCACUGAUAUGCAGUCCUGGAGUAUUCUACCUCUGAGAUGCAGACUCAGUUCUGGAUGGUGUUCUCCCAGUGAACCAGGUACUCAGUCCUGGGGAAAGUCUACUACCAGGUGACACUCCUAGUUCCAGGUUUCUGUAUCCUCAGAUCACACUCAGUAAAUGCCUUAUGAAAAUGAACUUACAUAAAUGAAUUUUGUAAGUCUAACAUUUAAAAAUUCUGGGCAAGUUGCUAAAAAUUUGUAACAUCAAAAAACUUAACAGUUUUUCAAUGUUUUGAUAAUCUGUGAUAGAAAUAGCAAUCAUUAGUGUUUGUAGUAUACUACUGAAAAUACAUCUAAGAAUAAUAUGUAUUAUUUUCCUAAAAUAAUACAUGUGUUUAAUGCUGCACCUGAUUAAAAACUUUAGCUUCCAAACCAGCCCUCUUUCCAUGGAUAUUUGCAUGCCAGCUGUGUAAUAUUUGCAUGACAGCUGUGCUGUAUCUCAUGUUGCUGGGUGAGCAACUGUGUUACCUGUAACAUGUGCUCGACCAAGUUGAAGACUACAGGCUAAAACUUUUAAAAAGUGAAGUGUUUUUUUUUUUUAAAACAUAACUUGUUUCUUCUGUUUGAUAAAGUAUUAGCACUUUCCUCCUUAUGUUCUGUGAAAUUUAUAUUUCCUGUGGAUUUUAGUAUUUUAUUGGAAUACUAUUUACAGUCUUUUUUUUUCCCUUUGACAAAGGCGUUUUUAAUAUGCUGAUUAACAGAGUAGCGGAUACUGGUGCAUACAGAGACCCAUCCUACAGGCAGAACUAAGUCCCCUGACAGCAGGUAAAGAUGGUAGUGGAGUUGGGCAGAGGGUCUUGAGACAAGAAUUACCCCUAGACUUACAAGGUUCUAUGAUCUCAAGCAAAGCCAGUGCUAACACAGUACCAGGGAGGGCAAAACCUGGGUAGAAAGAAAAGAAUGUCAGGCCAGGACAUUAGAAGACAUUCUCUUCAGGAUGAAAGAGGCAGCUUGAGAGAGCAGCCGCGUGGAUGAGGAUGUGUUUCAGGUCUGAGAAUUCAAGUGAGCGGCUACCUUUAAGGGAAGGAGCCCAAGGAGUGGAAGUGAGAUGAGGUGACCUGGGCAGUGGGCGAGCAGCAGGAGGAGGUAGAGCAGACCAGGGCCAGGGUGUGUGGCGGGCUCAGCACAGGAGCAGGACAGCUGAGGCAGAGGAGGAUACUGCAGGCUUAGUGCCAGGCACCUCUCUAGUGGCCUGGGACCAAGGCUUGCGGGCUCACUGACUUAGGUGCUAAUAUCUAGCUCAUGAUGUUGAAAAUAAGCAGAAAGAAAUAGUUUCAAGAUAGUUUUUAAAGACCUUUGCUUAGUUUCCUUCCUAAACUUUAGCAUGUUUCUGAGUAUUGAGUUAGUUUUUAUUCCAAUGGAGAUAAAAAGGGGGAAAUGCAUUUUAAGAUGAUCUAUGAGGGUCAAGAUCAGUUCCACUCUUUUGCACGGCUAGAUUUGAAGGGAUACUUUUCUGUGUGAUUGUUGUACACCCAGGACUUAUGGACAUUUGUGUGGCCAAGAGCAGCGUGUGUGUUGUGUUUUGUUACUAUGUCUGUACUUGAACACCAGAAGUCACUCUGAUAGGAGCCUGGCCUUUCCAUGAUAUGACAGCUAUCUGUGUCAUAUCUCUGCAGUAGCGUGCUCUGUGGUACUGCAGGGUUGAGAGCUCCUCCUAAAAUCUGUGUGUCUGUCUACAUUCUGAUGGAUGGCCAUGGCUUUAAAUGUUUCAGACAUUUUGAACUCUACAUCUUCCAAGAUAAGUAAUCAUAGAAUGGUUCUAGAACAUCACUUAAUCCAGUGUGUUUGAAUUAUUAAUAAUUAAUAAUUGCUCUUUAUAGCCAUGAUUUUAGUCAGAGAUUGACUGAAUUUCAGCUUUUAAAAAUAUUUUAUUACAUGUUUUAUACAAUAUAUUUUAUCAUGUCUUCCCUCUUCAAACUUCUCUUAGGUCCUCACCCCAUCUCUACCAACCCAACUUCAUGUUCUCUC